AUCAGGUGCUGGCACAGAUAGAGUUGUGGAGCCACCCAGACAAGCACCCUGUUGGGGUCCACUUCCUGCCCAAGAAGUGGAAUGAAGCAGUGUCUGAAGCUCAUCUGGGUAAGCUGAAUGUGAAGCUGACCAAGCUGACGGAUAAGCAGGCUGACUGAUAAGGGGCUUGUCCCGUGAGGGCCCCUUCAAGGCUGAUCAUUACUGCCACUGAGAACUAGGCCUGUUGUUUGCCUUAUAGCUGCUGGCCUCACUGGGGUCCCACUUCACUUCCCCAAGAGCAAAUGGCACCAACUUUUUUUUUUAAUGUUUUAAAAAUGCUUUUAUUUAUUUUUGAAGGAGAGAGAGAGACAGAGCAUGAGCAGGGGAGGAACAGAGAGAGAGGGAGACCCAGAAUCUGAAGCAGGCUCCAGGUUCUGAGCUGUCAGCACAGAGCCCGAUGCGGGGCUCGAACCCACCAACUGUGAGAUCAUGACCUGAGCCGAAGUCGGACGCUUAACCGACUGAGCCACCCAGGCGCCCCAAAUGGCACCAACUUUGAGAUAGGCUUGUGAAUGUCCCCCAUUGACUCUCUGGGGCUGGUCACUCAGUCUUUAGCCUCUGCGACAUCCCUCAUGCUGCUCCAAGUGUGGCAGGGGGAAUUGAGAAGCCCUUCCUCAAGCCCUGGUCAUGACAGAGGUACACAGGAAAUACCCAUGGGGAGCCAUGAGCUCAGGGGGUUUGGAACUGCUCAUUCAGUCCGUCCUUACUUGGGCUGGAAGUCGGCAAUGGUGGUCACAAAGCCCACGCACUUUACCAUCUAGGCCCUCCCUUGGCCUAUGGACUUUAUACCCAUGUUCUUAGUUUACUGGUUCACUAGUUCCUCAGCCGUGACAGAUGAGAAUGAACUGUAUCAAGGGGCAGGGAGGAACUAUUGGGAGUUUGUUCCUGAGAGCCUGGCUUAGUGCUGGGCAUUUUGUUGUUUAAGAGGUUUCUCAGAAUAGUUAGGUCAGUAUUUUCAGUUCCCAUUUUACAGAGCUUCGAAUCUACUAUUAAGGGACAACCAAAAAAGGACAAGAGAGAAGUGACAGCCAGAGGUUGAGAGGGGCUUAGAUCUGUCACCUCUUUGUAACUUGAUGGUUCCUACCACAAUCCUGGAUCAAAAAGAUUCAUUUGGCUUAUAAUGCUUAAUUAAUGUUUAUGAUGUUAAAGUGAGCAGGAAGGUGGG
rnacentral:lncRNA from 1 species